UCACAUCUUGCGAUGGCAGUCCCGCCAGAGUGCCCGGCAUCACCCGAUGGCAACUGACAGCAAGGGUUGCGCUCGUUAUGGCACUUAAGCCGACACCUCACGGCACGAGCUGACGACAACCAUGCAGCACCUCGACAAAUUGUCCGAAGACUGAAACUAUCUCUAGUAACAUUCAACUUGCCGUUCGAGCCUGGGUAAGGUUCCUCGCGUAUCAUCGAAUUAAACCACAUGUUCCUCCGCUUGUGCGGGCCCCCGUCAAUUCCUUUGAGUUUCACCGUUGCCGGCGUACUCCCCAGGUGGGAUACUUAACGCUUUCGCUAAGCCACCGACAUUAUAUCGCCGGCAGCGAGUAUCCAUCGUUUACUGUGUGGACUAC
rnacentral:misc_RNA from 1 species